rnacentral:rRNA from 1 species
GGGGAAUAUUGGACAAUGGGCGCAAGCCUGAUCCAGCAAUGCCGCGUGGGUGAAGAAGGCCUGCGGGUUGUAAAGCCCUUUAAGCGGGGAGGAACGCCGGAUCGCGAAUAGCGUUUCGGACUGACGUUACCCGCAGAAUAAGCACCGGCUAACUCCGUGCCAGCAGCCGCGGUAAUACGGGGGGUGCGAGCGUUAAUCGGAAUUACUGGGCGUAAAGCGUGCGUGGGCGGCGCAAUCAGUCAGCCGUGAAAGCCCCGGGCUUAACCUGGGAAUGGCGGUUGAGACGGUUGGGCUAGAGUGGGCUAGAGGAUCGUGGAACUCCCGGUGUAGCGGUGAAAUGCGUAGAGAUCGGGAAGAACACCGAUGGCGAAGGCAGCGGUCUGGGGCCACACUGACGCUGAGGCACGACGGCGUGGGGAGCAAAC